rnacentral:rRNA from 1 species
UGCUUUACACAUGCAAGUCGAGCGGCAGCGGCGGGGGCAACCCUGGCGGCGAGCGGCGAACGGGUGAGUAACAUAUCGGAACGUACCCAGUCGGUGGGGGAUAACUAUCCGAAAAGGAUAGCUAAUACCGCAUACGAACUGAGGUUGAAAGCAGGGGAUCGCAAGACCUUGCGCUGAUGGAUGAGCCGAAGUCGGAUUAGCUUGUUGGUGGGGUAAUGGCCUACCAAGGCGACGAUCCGUAGCUGGUCUGAGAGGACGACCAGCCACACUGGGACUGAGACACCGGCCCAGACUCCUACGGGAGGCAGCAGGUGGGGAAUAUUGGACAAUGGGGGCAACCCUGAUCCAGCGACGCCGCGUGUGUGAAGAAGGCCUGCGGGUUGUAAAGCACUUUUAGUGGGGAGGAAGGUCUGCGACCUAACACGUCGUGGAAUUGACUUAACCCACAGAAAAAGCACCGGCUAACUCUGUG